UGUAAUUUAUUUUAUGAAGAUUUCUGAUUUUUGAUUUCAGAGGAAAAAGUUUAAUUCUUUUAAUUACAG
rnacentral:tRNA from 1 species